rnacentral:rRNA from 1 species
AGAGUUUGAUCCUGGCUCAGGAUGAACGCUAGCGGCAGGCCUAAUACAUGCAAGUCGAACGCGAUUGAGGAGCUUGCUCUUCAUGAAAGUGGCGCACGGGUGCGUAACGCGUAUGCAACCUACCUUCAUCAGGGGGAUAGCCUCUCGAAAGAGAGAUUAACACCGCAUAAAUCACAACCUGGCAUCAGGAAAUGAUCAAAUAUUUAUAGGAUGAAGAUGGGCAUGCGUGUCAUUAGCUAGUUGGCGGGGUAACGGCCCACCAAGGCGACGAUGACUAGGGGAUCUGAGAGGAUGACCCCCCACACUGGUACUGAGACACGGACCAGACUCCUACGGGAGGCAGCAGUAAGGAGUAUUGGUCAAUGGGCGCAAGCCUGAACCAGCCAUGCCGCGUGCAGGAAGACAGCCCUACGGGUCGUAAACUGCUUUUAUGCCGGAAUAAACCCCCGAUCGUGAUCGGGGCUGAAUGUACGGUAAGAAUAAGGAUCGGCUAACUCCGUGCCAGCAGCCGCGGUAAUACGGAGGAUCCAAGCGUUAUCCGGAUUUAUUGGGUUUAAAGGGUGCGUAGGCGGCUUUUUAAGUCAGGGGUGAAAGACGGUGGCUCAACCAUCGCAGUGCCCUUAAUACUGAAGAGCUUGAAUAUACUAGAGGUAGGCGGAAUGUGACAAGUAGCGGUGAAAUGCAUAGAUAUGUCACAGAACACCAAUUGCGAAGGCAGCUUACUAUGGUAUUAUUGACGCUGAGGCACGAAAGCGUGGGGAUCAAACAGGAUUAGAUACCCUGGUAGUCCACGCCCUAAACGAUGAACACUCGAUGUUAGCGAUAUACAGUUAGCGUCUAAGCGAAAGCGUUAAGUGUUCCACCUGGGGAGUACGCCCGCAAGGGUGAAACUCAAAGGAAUUGACGGGGGCCCGCACAAGCGGAGGAGCAUGUGGUUUAAUUCGAUGAUACGCGAGGAACCUUACCCGGGCUUGAAAGUUACUGAAGUACUCAGAGACGAGUGCGUCCGCAAGGACAGGAAACUAGGUGCUGCAUGGCUGUCGUCAGCUCGUGCCGUGAGGUGUUGGGUUAAGUCCCGCAACGAGCGCAACCCCUAUGUUUAGUUGCCAGCAUGUAAUGGUGGGGACUCUAAACAGACUGCCUGUGCAAACAGAGAGGAAGGAGGGGACGACGUCAAGUCAUCAUGGCCCUUACGUCCGGGGCUACACACGUGCUACAAUGGGCAGUACAGAGGGCAGCUACCUGGUGACAGGAUGCCAAUCUCACAAAGCUGUUCACAGUUCGGAUCGGAGCCUGCAACUCGGCUCCGUGAAGUUGGAUUCGCUAGUAAUCGCGUAUCAGCAAUGACGCGGUGAAUACGUUCCCGGGCCUUGUACACACCGCCCGUCAAGCCAUGAAAGUUUGGGGUACCUGAAGUACGUAACCGCAAGGAGCGUCCUAGGGUAAAACUGAUAAUUAGGGCUAAGUCGAAACAAGGUAGCCGUACCGGAAGGUGCGGCUG